GAGUUUGAUCCUGGCUCAGAUUGAACGCUGGCGGCAUGCUUUACACAUGCAAGUCGAGCGGAGCGCGGGGGCAACCUGGCGGCGAGCGGCGAACGGGUGAGUAACACAUCGGAACGUAUCCCGUAGAGGGGGAUAGCCCGGCGAAAGCCGGAUUAAUACCGCAUAUGCUCUACGGAGGAAAGUGGGGGACUUCGCAAGGAGCCUCACGCUAUGGGAGCGGCCGAUGGCCGAUUAGCUAGUUGGUGGGGUAAAGGCCUACCAAGGCGACGAUCGGUAGCUGGUCUGAGAGGAUGAUCAGCCACACUGGGACUGAGACACGGCCCAGACUCCUACGGGAGGCAGCAGUGGGGAAUUUUGGACAAUGGGGGCAACCCUGAUCCAGCCAUGCCGCGUGAGUGAAGAAGGCCUUCGGGUUGUAAAGCUCUUUUGGUCGGGAAGAAAGGGUUUCCUUGAAUACGGGAGAUUCUUGACGGUACCGGCAGAAUAAGCACCGGCUAACUACGUGCCAGCAGCCGCGGUAAUACGUAGGCAGCGAGCGUUGUUCGGAGUUACUGGGCGUAAAGGGUGUGUAGGCGGUUGUUUAAGUUUGGUGUGAAAUCUCCCGGCUCAACUGGGAGGGUGCGCCGAAUACUGAAUGACUAGAGUGCGGGAGAGGAAAGUGGAAUUCCUGGUGUAGCGGUGAAAUGCGUAGAUAUCAGGAGGAACACCGGUGGUGUAGACGGCUUUCUGGACCGUAACUGACGCUGAAACACGAAAGCGUGGGUAGCAAACAGGAUUAGAUACCCUGGUAGUCCACGCCCUAAACGAUGCAUAUUUGGUGUGGGCAGUUCAUUCUGUCCGUGCCGGAGCUAACGCGUUAAAUAUGCCGCCUGGGGAGUACAGUCGCAAGGCUGAAACUCAAAGGAAUUGACGGGGGCCCGCACAAGCGGUGGAGCAUGUGGUCCAAUUCGACGCAACGCGAAGAACCUUACCUGGGCUCGAACGGCCGGUUAACGGCGUUAGAAAUAGCGCUACUCCGCAAGGAGGUCCGGUCGAGGUGCUGCAUGGCUGUCGUCAGCUCGUGUCGUGAGAUGUUGGGUUAAGUCCCGCAACGAGCGCAACCCUUGUCCUGUGUUGCCAUGCCGAAAGGCGGAACUCGCAGGAGACCGCCAGCGAUAAGCUGGAGGAAGGUGGGGAUGACGUCAAGUCCUCAUGGCCUUUAUGUCCAGGGCUACACACGUGCUACAAUGGCCGGUACAAAGCGUCGCAAACCCGCGAGGGGGAGCCAAUCGCAAAAAACCGGUCUCAGUUCGGAUUGCAGGCUGCAACUCGCCUGCAUGAAGCUGGAAUCGCUAGUAAUGGCAGAUCAGCACGCUGCCGUGAAUACGUUCCCGGGCAUUGUACACAC
rnacentral:rRNA from 1 species